rnacentral:rRNA from 1 species
CCAGGUUGAUUCUGCCUGACGUGUGUGCUAGUGUUCCAGAUUUAGCCAUGCAAGCCAGCGAAGCGAGAGUGGAGCGGCGGACAGCUCAGUAAUACAGUUAUGAUUUGACCGAAUUUAGUGGAUAACCGUGGGAAACUACGGCUAAGACAUUUUACGGCGCGCGGUGAGCGGGCGUAGCGGGUAAGUUUCUGGCCUAUCAGCUUGAAGGUAGGGUAACGGCCUACGUUGGCGACGACGGGUGACGGGGGAUGAGAGUGUGAUUCCGGAGAGGGAGGCUGAGAAACGGCUCCCAGGUCUAAGGACGGCAGCAGGCGUGAAACUUACCCAAUCGCUUUCGGGGGAGGUAGUGAGGACGUGUGCAGAUUUCUGCCGAACGCGACGGUAAAUUUGUUGUGUGGGACUGGAGGGCAAGUCUGGUGCCAACAGCCGCGGUAAUUCCAGCUCCAGGAGCGCACAUAUUUGUUGCUGCAGUUAAAAGGUCCGUAGUCAGCCCUGUGUGGACUGUGAGUAAAGCGCGGUGCUCAAGGCUGCGAGUUAGCACGGUCGCUGGGGAGAUAGGAACAGUGGAUGGCGAUUGGAUUCGGCAGCGAGAGGUGAAAAUUGUAGACCUGCCGAGGACGGUCAGAAGCGGAGGCGAUUGCCAAGGAUGUAUCCGUUGAUCAAGGACGAGAGCCGGAGGAUCGAAGAUGAUUAGAUACCGUUGUAGUUCCGGCAGUAAACGAUGCCGACCAGGCGUGGUGGAUGCUGUGCCUUAGGAGAAAUCAAGAGUGUGUGGGCUCUGGGGAUAGUACGGUCGCAAGACAGAAACUUAAAGAAAUUGACGGAAGGACACCACAAGGAGUGGAGUGUGCGGCUUAAUUUGACCCAACGCGGGGGAACUUACCGGGGCCGAGGUGCUUGUGAUUGCUUGGUGUAAGCCUAGCGAGAUUGUGCCAUGGGUGGUGCAUGGCCGUUUGCAACACGUGGGGUGACCAGUCAGGUUGAAUCCGACAACGCGCGAGGCCGGCGGUGCCAGGUUUUGGUGCGACGGGUGCUGGCAAGGCGCAGGAAGGCCGGCGAUAACAGGUCAGUGAUGCCCUCAGAUGUUCCGGGCUGCACGCGCACUACAAUGGUUUAGGGAGAGUGAUAAUUGAGAGGUUAUUUUUUUCGAGUCUAAGCCUGUUGGGACGGGCCGCUGUAAGGGGGCCCCGAACGAGGAAUUCCUAGUAGCCGCGGGUCAUCAAGCUGCGGCGAAUGAGUCCCUGUUCUUUGUACACACCGCCCGUCACUAUCUAAGAUGGAUGUGCAGGCGAAAUGGCUGGACCUGUGUGAAUGGGGAAGGCAGUUGAGCCUGUUCAACUAGAUA